UGCUAUGGUGGCCUAGUGGUUAGAGCGUCCGCCUUGGAUGCGGGAGGUCGCGGGUUCGAACCCCGGCUGAGUCA